rnacentral:lncRNA from 9 species
UAAAGACAAAAACCACAAUUUCCUUGGCAGGUUUUGGAACCCUAAAACAUGCAAAAACAGCCCACAGUUAAGUAAUCAAGUAAGGGCUUUAGAUGUACAUACAAGGAGUUCAGAAGAAGGAGGGACCACCAAGGCCUAGUAAGGGGAUGCCCUCUGAGGGAGGAGGGUUUGGAUAGACUGGCUGGGAAUAUCAGAUAUAAUGUAGCUUGGAGGGGAGGCUCAGCCUGAUUUGAGGCAGCAGGGAUGUGCCGGAAAAAAACAAUAGUUAUAACCACCAAGAGUGAUCCAAACGUUUGAUAUACAGAUGCUGAGUAUCAGCAUAAGAAGAGUUCAGAUUGCGUUCAUGAGUCAGAGGUCUCUGAGCAAUAGGUUUCUGCAAUCUCAAGAGUGAGGGAAAAAAUGGGAGGAAGCUGAUAUAAACACAAAGAAGGAAAACAGGUCAUGUUCUAGCUGAUUACUAUUAGAAUGAAGACUAAUUCAUUAGCUCUACUUGAAUUAGUCAAGAUAGGAUGAGAUAUCCAUGGUUACAUAGAAACCCCCCGUAUUUCAAAAGCUUAGCACAGCCAACAUUUCUUUCUUGUUCACGUCGCACGUCCAGCACUCACUGGAAGGAAACUCUGCUGCACAGAUCCAUUCGGAUGAAGAAUAACGGGCCUUUCCCCAUCGUGUGAUGCUGCCGUCUCAAGGUGGAGCUGCACAAGGGGAAGAAAGAGCAUGGACAGUUCCUACCACUCUUAACUGCCUUCGGUCCAUUUGCCAGAACCAGUCACUAGGCCAGGGCAAUAGCAGGAGAGGACAGAAAAGGCAGAGACGCCCAAGUAGCAUUGCCGAGUAAUUGUUGGAAUGAAUGUGUUUGAGGACAUCAGUGGUCUGAACACAUCCCGACUAGAGGGGCACCCUCAAGUCAUCUGCAGGCUUGGAUGACAUUGCGGGGUGUUCCCUGCCAGUGAACGCGGACCUCUGGCCUGCCGCGUAGCAGAAGGGGGCUCACUGGAGCACCAGAAAGAGCCCUGUAAAACUGUCCUCUGCACAGCCGUUAGGGAACAACGGCUCAGUUGUGUCCAUCUUUGGGUAUUAAAAUUUUAAAUCUUUGACCUUUAUUAAAAAAAAAACCAUAAUGUGAAAAUGUUUGAAUGCUGAAGUACAUUAUGUGGUGUAU